rnacentral:rRNA from 1 species
AGUGAACGCUGGCGGUAGGCCUAACACAUGCAAGUCGAACGGCAGCACAGUAAGAGCUUGCUCUUACGGGUGGCGAGUGGCGGACGGGUGAGGAAUACAUCGGAAUCUACUUUUUCGUGGGGGAUAACGUAGGGAAACUUACGCUAAUACCGCAUACGACCUACGGGUGAAAGCAGGGGAUCUUCGGACCUUGCGCGAUUGAAUGAGCCGAUGUCGGAUUAGCUAGUUGGCGGGGUAAAGGCCCACCACGGCGACGAUCCGUAGCUGGUCUGAGAGGAUGAUCAGCCACACUGGAACUGAGACACGGUCCAGACUACUACGGGAGGCAGCAGUGGGGAAUAUUGGACAAUGGGCGCAAGCCUGAUCCAGCCAUACCGCGUGGGUGAAGAAGGCCUUCGGGUUGUAAAGCCCUUUUGUUGGGAAAGAAAAGCAGCGGGUUAAUACCGCGCUGUUCUGACGGUACCCAAAGAAUAAGCACCGGCUAACUUCGUG